UGGGGAAUAUUGCACAAUGGGCGCAAGCCUGAUGCAGCCAUGCCGCGUGUAUGAAGAAGGCCUUCGGGUUGUAAAGUACUUUCAGCGGGGAGGAAGGGAGUAAAGUUAAUACCUUUGCUCAUUGACGUUACCCGCAGAAGAAGCACCGGCUAACUCCGUGCCAGCAGCCGCGGUAAUACGGAGGGUGCAAGCGUUGUCCGGAUUUAUUGGGCGUAAAGCGAGCGCAGGCGGUUUCUUAAGUCUGAUGUGAAAGCCCCCGGCUCAACCGGAGAGGGUCAUUUGAAACUGGGAGACUUGAGUGCAGAAGAGGAAAGUGGAAUUCCAUGUGUAGCGGUAAAAUGCGUAAAUAUAUGGAGGAACACCAGUGGCGAAGGCGGCUCUCUGGUCUGUAACAGACGCUGAGGCUCGAAAGCGUGGGGAGCAAACAGG
rnacentral:rRNA from 1 species